CGGCACGGUUCCCGGCCAGACCGCGGCGGGGCGCGCGACUCCCCGUGGCGACGGCGGCGAGCGCACGGGGACUCAGCCUCGUCCUCUGUCACCCGUGCCGCUGCUCCGAGCAGCGAUUCGCAUCACCACCCCGACCCCGCGUGGCUCCCACCGUCCUGGCUGUUCUGACAGGUGGCCGGGCUGGGAGAGCGCAGCGCGCGCCGGGUUCGCGGGGCCGCGCGCCCGGACAUGGCUUAAUAAAUUGUGUCUUCCUUACAGUCCGGAGAGAGAGGGGAAAGAAGCUAAGUGACUGAAAUCAGCUCUGCUUUGAAGCAGAUCCGUCCGUGGUCCAGGGUUAGGAAUCUUUCAACCCCCUCUUUCCAGAAAACAUCUUGGCUUCUUCUGAUGGCCGCGCUAUUUUUAUACCUUGGUCCAAAAGGAGCCAGCCAUGGAGUGGAAAAAAUGAUUUUUAAAAAUUCUUCCUUUAAAUAAGCAAAAGGGAAUGAGCUGUAGUUGAGGUUUAUAGCGCACCAGCAAAGCGAAGGACACAGGGACUUCCAAUUUAUAAUCAGAGUUGCACAUCUCUGUGAGUGGAUCGCUCACAAAGUUCUCAGUUGAUUUGACCGGCAGUGUUUCCUCCACUGAAAACUGCUGACAAGUAUUCAGGGGGCAUUUUGCCUUGACCUGGGAAAUCUAGACUGCCUGGCUAACUGGCUAAAUGAUAAUGUGGAAGGGCAGCGCAGCGCUCUGGAGGAUUUCCAGGGUUGGUGUUUUUUUUUUUUUUUUUUUUUUAAAGCCUGUGGGAGGCUGGUCUUUGAGCUGCUAGUGAGUGAAGCUUGAGUCACAAGGACUCACCAUCCUAGAAUAGUGAGCAGUAAGGACUUCAGAGGGCCUAUAGAACUUCACCGCGUAGUUGUGAACAAGAUUUUUCACGCCCUUAACUGUUUCACCUGUCAAAUUAGUUUAAUUAUUAAUGUGGACUGUAUACAAAUGCUAAAGGGUGCGACUGAAAAGUCAUUAAUUAUAUCAUAAUUCAUACUCUUCCUCUUUCUGUCCUCCGGCUUUUGUGGCUGUGGUGGGGCAGUAAGGGCUUAGGAGUUUUUGAUGGCUGUCAUCGUUGCCUAGCUGCUUCUCCUCACUUUGUCCCCACCAUGAGAAAGAUACAAGCCAGGAAACAAGGAACAAGGGCAGGGAGAGGUUAGGGAUUCAGGAGGGGUGAUACUGAUCUGAAGUGACUGUCCGGCACCACACAAGCCUGGAGGUACUCUUGCAAGGAGCUAUGGCGAUGGUAUAACCCAAGGGUCAAGGAUUAAGGCCCUUAGCCAGAUGUGGUGGACUUGCCUAUAAUUCCAGUCCUUGGGAGGCUGAGAGAAGAGGAUCACAAGCUGAGUGCCAAUCGAGGCUGCAUACAGAGAAACAAAACAGAAGCAGCCAUCAAAGCAAAACAGUGUGAGAGGAGACAGAGUGCCUCCAGAAUAAAUGCUAAAUAGCUGUUAGCUGACAUGUCAGUACCGUUGACUUCACCGUGGUCAUUGUCGUCUCUAAUAUUAUCAAAUCUGAGAUGAUACUAGGGACCCUAAGAAGACAAAGUACAAAGGGCAGCUGAAGUUGGAGUAUUUUCCAGGCAGAGGCCAUUUGGGGCUGGGUAUGGGGAUGCCAGUGGCCACCUGCAGCUUUCUUGGGGGUUACGUCUCUCACGUGUGUAACCCUGUGCUGAGAAUGCCAGACAUACUCAUUGGAGCAGAAUGUUCCAAGAAGUACCCACUUAGGAAAGUAAAAUAUGUUUUCUAACCUUCUGGAAAGAGUGUAAAUGGUACUUUUCUUUUUAAAAAAGAGUCCCCCACCCCUUGAAGCCACUUUGUGUAUUGGGUGCAAGAAUUACGCUAAGGGCUUGUCAGGAAUAACUUUCAGAAGAGUAAGAAUGUACUUAGUGUGGAUGUUACGUUAAAACUGAAUACUGACUUUCAGAUGUGCUGUCACUCAGGACACUCAGUCGCCCUGGACAGAAGAUGCGGUCAGCUUUAAUUGUCCACUUGACACAAUCCAGAGUCACCUCUGGGAAGAGAGUCAAAACUGAUGGGUAGUCUACAUCAGGUUUGCCUGUGGGCAUGUCUCUGUUAGAUGCUCUUUGUUGUUGAGGAAGACGUAGCCCUGUGUGGGCAAUGCCUAAGCUUCGUAAGAGUGAAGAAAGCCGACUUGAGCAAGCCAGGGUGUGCAUAUGUGCCUUGGUCGUGGAUACGGUUAGCUGCUCGAAUCCCUGCUCUGACUUCCCCAAAAUGAUGGGUUAUGACAUGAAAUUGUAAACCAAAUAAACUCUUUCCUCCCCUAAACUGGAGCUGUGUUACCCUGGAAAGAGAAGCGAAACUAGAAAGAAGGGGAAAGUGAAGCUGGAGAGUAGUUGCACAAGGCUGUGUGAUUUGUAAAGGCCAUAGUCACCAAAGGCAGCCAGGACUACAGAUGGCUCUUACAUUGGCCUUCUGCAUUAGGCCUAUGCUAUUUUGAUCUACUGGUUUUAAGGAUUUCCUUUAAAAGCAAAGAAUUAACUUUAAAAAAGAAGUCACUUCAGUAACAGCAUUGACAGUUCUGCUUCUGAGCAGGACCUAGUACGUAAACAAGGUGCUAUUCUGCAAUGUCAAACAUGGAGCAAUCUUUUACCUUACAUGUGUGUCUAUUGGUUUUUGAAAUAGAUCAGAUUCCAAAAGUAAGACUGUGUUUAGGACUUUUAGUACACUUUCGUAUCUUCAUCAUUCUGUUUAACAAUGAUAUUCCUUAAGAUAAUUCAUUUUCCUAUUAAUGUAAUAUUGUAAUCUGACCUGCAAUUACAGUUGCAAAGAGCUCAGCUCUGGGCCCCAGCCUCAACCAGGAAUAAGCAGUGUCUUACAUACAGUCAGUGAAAAAAAUGUUCCCCACUGCAUGCAAAUUUCUGUGGCUUCCUGCAAGCAGCAUUGCCCAGUGCAGGGCCAGCGCCAAAGUCAGAGGAAGUCGUAAAUGCUGGCAGCAGCUGUCUCCCCAUGAUUGUUCUGGCUCUCUCUUCUGCUCUCAUAACUGUAUACUCCCAUGCUAGAAAUCAUCAGGUAGGACAGCUAGGAGCAUCUAGUGUAACUGUAUCUCCCGUUGUCCUGUUGGAUGGAUACUUUGAAACAUUUCUCUAGAACCCAUAGCUCAGGGAGAUAGAAGACAAGACUCUACCACUGAAUUGUUCUGAGUUGGAAUGUCUGGUAGGUUAUAUGCACUUGUCUUGAUUUUAGUUUUUCCCUGAUUGUGGUGAGGAAGAAAGACUAGAUGUGAACUGGGUGAUCACAAUGUUUGUGUUCGCGAUUUUAGGAACUGCUGUAUCAGGUGUAUCAUCGUCCUUCAAGGAGCAUUUCCUUGUUGAUGAGCUCUUUGAUGACUGGAAUUUGCUGCUUUUGCAGAUGCUGGGAAUUAUUUCUAAUGGUGCAAAGAUUCUCGAUUUCUUUUUUUCUUUUUAUACAGUGUUGGGUAUUAAACCUAGGGCCGUAAGCAUGCUAGGCAAAUGUUUUAGCACUGAGCUGUAUCUCAGCCCACAUGUUUCUGCCAAACAGAAUAGGUACAGAACUUGAUCAACUGUGAGAGUAAAACAAGAGCUUUAGAUAAAUAAAGGGAAUGCAUCAACCAUUGUGGAGGCAUUAGUGACUCUCUGGACACCCAGGAUUGAAAUACAUAGACCAUAAGACUGACACUUUUAUAUUACUUACUCUAUUAGUUAACUUCUCUGUGGCUGUGACAAAAUAUCAAGACCCAAAGCAACUUACAUCCAGAAGGAAGAAUUUAAUUCGGCUUAUGGUUCCAGAGUGAGAGUCCAUAAUGGGGGGAGGGGGUGGGGGAGGCAUGGCAACAAGCUAUCAGGGCAGGAAGCCGAGAGGUCACACGCUCCAAACAGAAACAACAAUCUAGAAGUGGGGCAAGACUGUAAGCUUUCAAGCUUGCCCCAAGUGAUAAGCUUCCUACAGCUAGUUUACACUACCUCCCUAACAGAGGAUCAAGUGUUCAAAUACUUAAGCUUACGGGGAGCAUUUCUCAUUCAAACUACCAUACUUACUAUGCAGCAGAUAUGGACCCAAAUGUUUAUAUCAUAACUCACUCACUUCUAUGAAUUAGGAACAAUUGCUGUCUUCAUUUAUAAGUGGGGAACGGAACCCAGGCAAGUUAUGCACGUUUUGAUUUUAUUUCACACAGCUAAUUAAGGUCAGAACUGGGAUUUACAUUCAGGCAGUCUGUCGCCAGCAUCCUGCCCUCUUACUCACUAUAUCAUGCUGUGUCUUGGUUUUGUUUUAAAAUAAAGAAGUAACGAUAUUUACUAUCUAUUAAGUAUUGUGUCAGACAGCCAAGAUUCCGGCACUGGUGAGGGAGGUGCUGCCUGGUCCCCAUCCCUUAAUGAGGAGAUAGUGGCAGCUGAUAGCUACUGGAGCAGGGAAAAUCAUUCUCUUUUGAGGUUGUUUCCCAUACACUAGUGGGUGACCCCACACCCAUGUACAUGUGGGCAGCGCUAAUUGGAUUUAGUGCAAUUAAAAAAGAAAGGCAUGAAAUGGGAGGGGGGACAUGUUGAGGGGAUAUGGGGAGAGUUGGAGGCGGGAAAUGAAUGGAUAUGAUCAUAUUUUAUUGUAUGUAUGUGUAAAAUUCUCACAAAGAAAAUUAUAAUAAAGAAAUGAGAGCAGUUGAAAAUGCUUGUUAUUGAUUUGAUGAGUGUAAAUUGUACAUAUAUUGAAAUACCACAUUGUACUCAAUAGAUCAGUAGUUAUUAUUUGUUAAUAAUUCAACUAAAACAAUUAAAAAUUAAGAUUUUUCUAAAAAGAGAAAGACAUGCCAAUCAGAUGACGUAGCUGGUAAAAGUGCUUGUCUGACAAAUGUAGGAACCAACCCCCAAUGGAGGGUCAGAACUGAUUCCCCAAGGUCAUCUUCUGACCUUUAUACAUUCAUCAUAGACAUGCACCUGCAUUCACAUACGCACGCACACACACACACACACACACACACACACACACACACACACACACCAUGCAACAUGAUAAUCAUACAAUUAAAAAAUAUAAAGGUAGAAUAAAACAUAAGGCAUACCACUCAUCAUUAGGAUGACUUUUUUUUUUUAUAGAAGAUAAAGACAGGUGCUAAGAAAGAAUAAAGUUGGGCUGGAGAGAUGAUGGCUCAGUGGUUAGGAGCACUGGUUGCUCCUCCAGAGGUCCUGAGUUCAAUUCCCAGCAACCACAUGAUGGUUCACAACCAUCUCUAAUGGGAUCUGAUGCCCUCUUUUGGUGUGUCUGAAACAGUGUACUCAUAUACAUUAAAUAAAUAGAUCUUUUAUAAAAAAAGAAAGAAUAAAGUUACAUAAAGGUUUAAUUCAAGAAUGACCCCAAGGUACCAAAAACCUGUAUUUAAAGCUAUUUGGGAGGCUGAGGCAGGAGGAUCACAAGACCAAAUUUAGCCUCUGCAGCUUGGACCCUGUCUCAGAAUAAAAUGUAAAAGGGGGGCUGGGGGUAUGGCUCUUUGGCAGAGCACCUGUCCGGCAUGUACCAAGCCCAGAGAGAGACAGAGAUAGAGCUAGAGAUAGACACAGAGAGAGAGACAGACAGAGAGGCAGACAGACAGGGACAGAGGGAGGUGGGAUGGGGAGACAGCUCAGUGGUAAAGGAUCCUGCUAUACAAGCCCAAUGACUUGCAUUUGAUGCCGAGAGCCCACAUGGAGGUGGAAGGAUAGUACUGACUCCAUAAAGUUGUCCUCUGGUGUCAUGCCUGCAUCCUCACCCACACAUACAUAUACACAAUAAUAAUAUUCAAUAAAACAAAGUUUAAAGAAAAACAACGACUCAGGGCUGGAGAACUACUCAGCGGUUAUCAGCAAGGACCUGUCUGGCAGAGGACUCCUCACAUGCAUCUGUGAAGGCUGGUUUACUUCCCUAUAGGCUAGCGGAGAGGAGACACAGCAUCCUGUGCCUCCCCAGGGAGAGAGGCAGAGCUCAGAGACAAGGGCUCCUGUCUUAGCUCUCCACACAGAGCUAGAGAAGAGCUAGGAUGAUGUCACAAACCCCCUGGUUUGCAUCUUUUUUAACAGGAGCAUGAAAAGGCAGGAGGUAACUCUACUGGUCUUGCUGGAGGACCCUUAAGAAGCAGGGCCAUUUGAGUCUUUUCCAUAGCAAAGUUACUUAAUAAUAUCUCAAAGAAUUUUAAUAAAGGUUGAAGCAAGAGAAAUAUCCUAUUCCUGGCCCCAUACGCAUCCAAGCUUAUAUAUAGCCCAGGCUGGCUUUGAACUCAUGAUGAUCUCUAUGCUUCAUCUACCCAUGUGCUUGGAUUACAAGCAUACAUGGCUAUAGCCAGCUUCCAGGUCUCUAUUCUCACAGUAUAGAUUCAUCAUUGCAAAGAGCUCACAUGUAUGCAUGCAUGCACAUGGGACCCAAGUGCAACUCAAUGAAGUAAUACCUUGGGGAGCAGAAAGGAGAACAGAAAUUAUAAGCAGAACAGAAGACACUGUGUGAGCAUCUGCACAAGCUGUGCAUGAAGAACAGAGGACAACUUUUGGGAGUCAGUUCUCAUCUUCCCUGCUCAGGCAGGCUCUCUUAUUUCUGCCAGAGUGUAUGGUAGGCUAGCUGGUUCAUUAGCUUCUCCCGUGUCCACCUCCCAUCUCACCACACAGUAAGAGUGCUGCGACAACAGAUGUGCACCACUCCAUCGAGCUUUUCCCUUGGGUUGCAGACAUUUUGCUGAACUCGGAUGAUCAGGCUUGUGCAAGCAAGUGCUUUUACCUGCCGAGCCAUCUCCCUGACCCACAUUCCCUUGUAAAAUUCAAAACCAUCUCAAUCAAAAGUACAGUAAAGUAAAAGUGCAAAGUAUAGUAAGCAAAAAGGGGAAAAGCACCCACAUUUCGACCACUCAUAAAUUAGUAAUACCUGUUAACAUUUGGACACACUUCCUUCUAAUUUUUCAAAAACAAAAUUGUCUUGUGCAUGCUACAUUGUAAUUUUUAAUAUGUGUUGACAACCCUCCAAGUCAAUUAACAUGGGCCUAUGUUAUAAAUAAUGUGAAAGUAUUAUGGUUUACUAAAGUAGUUAUUAUUUGGGCGUCAAGGUAAUUCCCAGUUUUGCAAAAUAAAUGUUAGAGCUUGAGGAAACAGUCUGAAGCAUGUUUUCUGUGCUUCUGCAAAUACCCCUGUAUGCAUUUCUAGUAGUAGAAUUAUUUGUUUAAAAAAAUUAAGGUUCUUUUUAGUUUGGCUUUUGUGUGUGUGCGUGAAUGUAUGCAUGUGUGUUCAGUGUAUGUCUGUGUACUCACCCAUAUAUUCAUGCAGCAGCCAGAAGGACAUUUGGUACGCUGUCGGUUCUCGGUUUGGGUUAGGCUGGCUGUCUAGCUGGGCUUACAGGAGCAUGCAGUCAUGCCGAGCUUUUUACCUAUGUGGAUGGCAUCCCUGCUCAGGUCUUUAUGGCCUUACCCAGCUUUCGUUCUUCAUGUUUUUAUCAUGUUCACUUCUGGGACAGGCACAUCACUUUCUGCUCCUGCCCCUGGCUCUGCAAAUGCUCAUUUCCUUGCAUUCAAAUCCCACUCUCCCCCAACCAUUUACUAUUUAUUUAAAAUUCAUCAUUCUUUAAAGUGUUUGUUUGUUCAUUUUUGACUCCUUGCCUUUUUUUUUUUUUCUUCUUUUUUCUUUUUUUCGGAGCUGGGGACUGAACCCAGGGCCUUGCACUUGCUAGGCAAGUGCUCUACCACUGAGCUAAAUCCCCAACCCCGACUCCUUGCCUUUUUUAAGCCAUGAAAACAGUCGUGUAUGUCUUCCUUUUGCCUCAACUGCAACCAGAGAUGAUGCUCACUGUUCCUGGGUUUCCUUCCUAUCACCUUAUUCCUUGAAUAAUGGUUUGUUUGCUUGUUUUUGUUUUUUCUUUGUGUAACAGUUUAAUUCAGUCAAGGCCUCUUUGAGUAUAUACCAACCUUUUUAAAUAAAAUUCUAUCACAAAGUAAGAUUUCAAAUCACAUGAUGGAUUAUGUUUUCCUGGGGAUGAGUGAAUAGAAAAUGUGAGAUUUUUUUUUCAUGUUUUUGUGUGCCUUUUCCUGUGGAGUUGGAAUUUGGGACAAAACAUGUCUCUCUGCUUAGAAACCUCGCAAAGCUUCCUGGCUUCCUCUCUGAUUGUUCUCUCGAAACACAGGUAAAACUUACUGUAGCCCAACUACAACUAGAGUAAGAAAUGCAGAACUGUAAUCAACCCCAAUCUCUUCCUCCCUCCUUUUCUUUUGUUGAUUUUGCAUAUGUAUGUGUGAUGAAUAUGAACAUGCAUAUGAACAUGUUGUGUUCACAUGUGUGUGGGUACAUGUGUAUAUGUAUGUGUGUGAAUGGAUGUGCACUGUGUGUGGAGUCUGCGUUGACCUCAGGUGUCAACCUUCCUUGGUCACGUUCUCUCACUAAACCCCAAACAUGUCAUUUUAGCUAGCCUUGUGUAUUAGUCAGGUUCUCUAGAGUCACAGAACUUAUGCAAUGUCUUUCUGUAUUGAGGGAAUUUAUCAUGAUGACUUACAGUCUGUAGUCCGACUCCCCAGCAGUGGUCAGCUGUGAACGGGAAGUCCAAGAACCUAGGAGUUGCUCAGUCCCACAAGGCUGGUUCACCUGGUCUUCUAUAGAAGUGGAUUCCAAUAGAUGUGCGGGCAAGUAAAUGCAAGUGGUGAAGAAGAGAGCAUCUUCCUUCUUCCAAUGUCCUUAUGUCAGUCUCCAGCAGAAGAUGUGUAGAUUAAAGGUGUGCAGCACCACACAGGGAUCUGGGACUUGUUUUGUCCUAGGCUGACCUUGAACUCAGAGAUCUCCUUGCCUUUGUCUCCUGGGAUUAAAGGUAUGUUCUACCUGGCCUGGACCUAAGCUUUUCAUAGCUAUUAUGCAUAAAAAUCAACAUGCCAAGAUCCAGGUCAGAAACUUGUGUCUUCUAGCCUCAAGAUCUGGAUCACAGGUGAGCCCUCCAAUUCUGGAUUGUAGUUCAUUCCAGAUAUACUCAAGUUGACAACCAGGAAUAGCCAUUACAUCUGGCUAGCCACCUUGCCCUAGGGGUUCCUUGUCUCUGCCUUCCACACAUUGGCAUUAUAGAAAGGUAAUGAGACACGCCUGGUCACUACUUGAGUCCUGGCUGUUCUCCUCACCCUUGCAUGGCAACCCAUUGAACCACCUUCCCAGACUCCUUCUUCCACUCCCUUCCAUUCUCUCCUCCUCUCUUUCUCCCUUUCUCCCUCCCUCCUUCCUUCCAUCUUUUACAUCUCUAUUUUUGAUGUCUUUAUGUAUGUAUGUAUGUAUGUAUGUAUGUAUGUAUGUAUGUUACUCAAGUGCCAUGGUCCAUGUGUAGAGGUCAGAGGAUCACCAUGUGGGUUCUAGGGAAUCAAAUAUCAGACUUGGCAGCAAAGGCUUUUACCAGCUGGGCCAUCUUUCUCUUGUCUCUUGAUUAAAAGAAAAGGGUUCUUGCUGCAGACCCAGGAUUUCCCUGGCUAAACACUUCCUACCAGGGACACUCCUGGGCCCUAGGAGCCACAGAGUCUAAGACAAAGGUAGACCAUUUUUUGUUAUGCUCCCUGUCUUCUGUUCCAAUCUCUCUAGACUCUAGACUGACUUCUAGCUCUACUGCAGAAGAAGCUCUAAUGCCUGCAAGAGCCAUUUCUCCCACCCAGCCUCCACGCCCUAGGGACUCACCCUCUUCCAGACCCUGACUGCUCUAGCUCUUUCUUGCUGCCCAUCUCAGCCCUUCUUCCUAGCCCAUUUCCAUGUGGUGUCAUUGACUGACCUGCAGGUUCACUGUACUAGGAACUUCAUAGCCAAUAUACUGACUGCAUAGUAUCCAGAGUAGGCCACAGUAACCAAAGAGUGGAACACCCAUUCUGCAAAGACAAGGCCAGAUGUGUACACCUAAAAUAUCAUAACUCUAGGUACCUAAAUCCAAGUGCAAAGUCACCAACAUGAACAGCCUAGACAAUACCCUCCAGAAGCCAGUAAGCCCACUGCAGUAAGCCCAGAGAAAUGGAAUUCAGCGGAAGUAUGAGACAAGGACUUCAGAGCAGCAAUUCUGAAUAUCUUCAGUAAACUUAAAGAGAAUAUGAACAAAUUAAUGAAGAAAGACCAUUAAAACAGGAGCAGUUCUUUGAAAGACAUGUUACAAGACGUGGAAAUGAGAAUUUCAGGUCUUGAAGACAAGGUAGAAGAGAGAACUAGUGCAAUCAGAGAAAGUGUUCAAUCUAAAAAAAAAAAAAAUCAGACACAAGACAUGAAGGAAAUUUAGGACACUAUAAGAUGACCAAAUCUACAAAUAAUAGGGAUAGAGGAAGAAGAAAAAGAAACUUAGAUCAAAAGCAUAGAAAAUAAAAUCAUGAAAUCAUGGAAGAAAAUUUCCCUAAAUGCCUCCUAUCAAGGUACAAGUGUACAGAACACCAAAUAGACAGGGCUAGAAAAGAAAUUCCCUGUGACAUAGUAAUCAAGACAUUAAAUGCACAGAACAAAGAGAGGAUAGUAAAAGCUGCAAGGAGAAAAGUGACUUAAGUGACAUGUAAAGGCUGUUCCAAGAGAAUAACACCUGACUUCUCAUUGGAGACUCUAAAAGCCAGAAGGGCCUGGACGGAUGUUCUACAAGCUCUAAGAGACCUCAGAUGGCAGCCCAGACUAGUAUACCCAGCAAAACUUCCAGCCCCUUUCCUUUCAGAUGGAGAAAGAAAAACAUUACAGGAUAAAAACCAAAUUUAAGUAAUUUCUACUAACCCGGCUCUAUAGAAGGCACUAAAAGGAAAACUUCAGCUGAGGAGGUUAACCACAUCCGAGAAAAUAUAAGAAUAAGGAAUUCCAGACAAGAAAAUCAAAAGUGGGGACUUACACCACAGCAACAAAAUAACAGGAAUAAGCAAAAACUGUUCAUUCGUAACUCUCAAUAUUAAUGAUCUCAAUUCCCCAGUGAAAGAACUAAAAAAAUAAAAUAAAAUAAAAUAAAAUAAAUGACCCAAUUUAAAAGAUGAGGUACGGAACUAAGCAAAGUUCUCAAAAGAUGAAAUAAAAAUCACCAAGAAACUUAGAAAUGUUCAACACCUCAGCCAUCAGGGAAAAUGUGAGUUAUAACUGCUUUAAAGUUUAUCUUACGCCAUAUAGAAUGGCCAAGAUCAAUACCAUAAAUAAUAGCACAUGCUGGCCAGAGUGAGGGGAAAGGGAACACUAAUCCAUUGCUGGUGGGAGUGCACACUGGUGCAAACACUGUGGAAAUCGGUGUGGCUGUCUUCAGGAAGCUGGGAAUCCAUCUACCUCAAAGUCUACUCUUGGACUCUACGCUCUACUGCAGACGCAGAGCUACUUGUUGACCCGGCCUCAUUGCUUCCCUCUCCAUAAGAGGCAGACGCUGCACACAGCAGAGAUGGCCGUCGACAAGUGUGGUACGCUUAUACUGUGGAGUGCUAGUCAGCAGUUAAGACAAAUGAAAUUCCUGGUAAACAGAUGAAGCUAGAAGGGAAACAUUUCAAGUGAGGUAACCUAGACCCGAAAGACUAAUACUUAAUGUUCUCUCUUACAUGUAGGUGAUAGCUUUUAAGCCUUCAAAAUAUGUGGUUUGAACAACCACAGAGGAUAAUUGCCUAGCAAGGCACUAGGUGGGAGGAGACGAUCUCCCAAGGAAAGGGAAAUAGAAUAUAUUGUUAUGGAGAGACAAAGUAGUAAUUAGGACAGAAGGAAUAGUAGGGAGGGGAUGAGAGAGAAAGGUGAAGGAGAGAAUAUUAGACAGCUAACAACAGAGGCCAUUGAAAAAACGUAUAGAAACCCACUACUGAAGAUUUCUAAAAUAUAUGCGUCUGUGAAAGAAACGUGAAUGGAGUCAUCAAAUAACAACUAUGAUUUUCAGACACACAUGAACUUACAGAGAUCGUGACAGCUCACACAGGAUCAAGACAUCCUAAGUCUCAGCACUGAGAGGGGAAAGUGGACACAGGUCCUCACUCCUAACCAAGAAGGUAGCUACAGUUGAUAUCUGCUGGCAGACUAAAAACUCAGUUUUCUCCAGUGGAGUCUCUUAGGUAUAGUAACUAUACAUGCAGGCAGGCCAGCAGUACUGGGUUAAUCCAACAGGUACUCAAUGGUAUUUUUGUGGACUUUUUGUUUCAUUCUACUUUGUUUGGACAUUUUUUUCCCCUCCGUCUUUAUUAACUUGGCUAUUUCUUUUUUUUCCAGAGCUGGGAACCGAACCCAGGGCCUUGCACUUGCUAGGCAAGCGCUCUACCACUGAGCUAAAUCCCCAACCCCAACUUGGCUAUUUCUUAUUUACAUUUCAAUUGUUAUUCCCUUUCCCAGUUUCCAGGCCAACAUCCCCCAGCCCCUCCCCUUCCCCUUCUUGAUGGGUGUUCCCUUCCCCAUCCUCCCCCCAUUGCCGCCCUCCCCCCAACAAUCACGUUCACUGGGGGUUCAGUCUUGGCAAGACCAAGGGCUUCCCCUUCCACUGGUGCUCUUACUAGGAUAUUCAUUGCUACCUAUGAGCUUGGAGCCCAGGAUAAGUCCAUGUAUAGUCUUUAGGUAGUGGCUUAGUCCCUGGAAGCUCUGGUUGCUUGACAUUGUUGUACAUAUGGGGUCUCGAGCCCCUUCAAGCUCUUCCAGUUGUUUGGACAUUUUUAAAUCUUUUGGUCUUUUGUUUGUUUGCUUGCUUUUAUUUGGGGGUCGUGUUUUUUUGUUUUUUUGUUUUUUGUUUUUUUUUGAAAGAUGAGAGCAAACUUGAAUGGGUAGGGAAGUGGGGAAGAUCUUGGAGGAAUCGUCAGAGAGGAAAACAUGAUCAAAAUAUAUUGUUUGAAAAGAAAUUUUUAAAUUCGUCUUGUGAUUCCUAAGCCAACCAGUCUGGUGUUUUAUACAUUAUUUCAUUCAUUCGUUCAUUCAUUCCAUGUACAGGGUGUGUUAUAUUUUGAGUUCUGUGCGAGACUCUGAAAAUAUGAAUCAAAAUGAUUCAUUGGCCUUGCCUUCGGUGAUCAUGGAAGCUAACCAAAAUGAAGCCAGAGGAGGAGGGAGCCUCUCUUGACUUUUGGCCUUUGUCCUGGCCAUGCUGUGCCUACAGAAGGGCCAGUGUCAGGCUCAUGGCCCUGGGGAUGCAUUACCCAAAACAUUUCUGGAAAUCCUUUCAGAAAUCCUUGCAGAGAUCAGAGAACACUGCGUCUUAACGACAAGCUCAGUGUACGAGAGCACUUUGCUCACAGGGAGAAUGGGCUCUUUUUUUUUUUAAAGUGUUCAAAAACAUAGAAAGUACAGAUAAUUUUGUACCAAAUAUUUGAGAGUCCUCUGGAUGUAAAUGAAUAGUUGGCAGCAUCAGCCUCUUACUGCUUCUGCUUUGAGAUUUUUAAGUUACAAAAAGGGAAUGUUACUGAAAAAUGAACUCUCUGUUCAGUUCCCUCACAUGACUACUUUCAGGAGGUUGAGGGGUGUUUGUGUAUGGUGUGUGUGUGUGUGUGUGUGUGAAAGCAUGCAUACUUAUCCAUAAGCAGUGUAUUUUGUGUGAUCACGAACAUUCAAACAGACCUAUUAAAUUAGGUAGAACCAGCUUGUAAUAAAUAUAAGAAAUGGGGCUUGGGGAUAUAGGUCCAUGGGAGCACCCUUGCUCAUUUACAUCUGAGCGAGGCCUUAGGUGCAAUCAGGGGAGACAGCUAUAAAGCCUUGGGUCUGUUUGGGGGUGCCUUCUCAAAUCGUCCCAAGAACACAUGCCAAAAGAAGUUCUGAAAGUGAUGUCAGGAAGACAGGUUUAUUGGAAUAGCUUGCAUGGUGCCACUCACGCGGGACCGUAAGGACCAGCAGUUGUUUAUAUAAUAUGUGCAGCCUAAUAGUAUUUUCCAACCAGUCCUCACCACUGUAGUCCGCUACUCAUUUCCCAGAAUGGCCAGGCAGGACACUUUGUAAAAAGCCUAUUUUAUUCCUCCCUCGGCUGCUGUACCACAAGAUGCAUUUAAGAUAUGUAUCUAAAGUCACUGUCACAUGUUUAUUUCUGAGUCCAUGUUUUUAAAAGCACAGAAUGAAGAUGUUUGUCUCCAAGCCUUGGGACUCAGAAAAACAUGUCGAUUAGCAAAGGGCAUGUGUCUGCUCAGCAGUCUGUUUGGAAGCUUUGCUUGUGUAACGGAACCAUCACCCCCGAGCUCUGGAUGUCUGGUCUAUCUGAUGCACCACAGCUCACACCAGAGAAACUUAGAGGAAUGAGCAUGGGUACAAAUGCUUUCUCCUAGGGAUUCUUGCUGCCCUGCACUCCUGUGCUCCCCCCUCAGCAUGUGCCUUUAUUAGGCCACUGGAGAUUAUAUAUUAUAUAUGUAUAUGCCAGUAUAUAUAUGUAUGUGUAUUUAUGUGUGUAUGUACACACACACACACACACACACACACACACACACACACACACUCACUCAGGUUUCUGAUGUGUGAGCAUAUCAUGAAGAUGCUCAACUGGGCCCACAUUGACUGGGGAGGCUGGAGUCCCGCAGGUUGAACAACCCUGUACUAAUUUACACCUCAGUGAGUUUCCCUUCCUUAUGUGAGUGGGGACAUCUCAGGCUCAAAGUCCAACUGGGAAAGCAGCAGGUUAUAUCCUGCUAGUUACUAUAGAUGUCUCAGGCCUCUGUUGUAGUGUUUCCUCCUAGAAAUGAGACUGUCCCCUUCCUUUUCUACUUUAUCUACUACUAUCAUUCAUUCCAAAUCAUUGUCACUCCCCACAGUAUCUGUAGAAGGGCAACUGAACUGACCUAUUCUGCAAUCAAAUUUAUGUACUUGAUACUUUCAUUCAGAUCAACAGAUUUUUCUAGGCAUUAUGGGAAAUUUAAAAACAAGACAACACAUCUCUAUGUGAGUCAUAUGAUCAGUCAAGUUAACAUAAAUGGAACAUUAGAGAAUAUAGACACUGUAGGACUGUGCGACUGGAUGCAGGUUAAGGGUAGAAUCCAGCAUGGGAGAGGCUGUGGCUCUGAGGUGCAAGGACACAUUUGCUUUGUUUUGUUUUGUUAAAGAACAAUGGGGCUUUUAUUGCUCAUAAUGCCUAGUGCCUGCAUUCUUUUUUUUAUUGGAUGUUUUAUGUAUUUACAUUUCAAAUGUUAUCCCCUUUCCCAGUUCCCUCCUAUCCCAUCCCCCCUCCUCUGCUUCUAUGAGGAUGCUCCCACUCCCACCUACUCACUCCCACCUCACCACCCUGGCAUUCCCUACACUGGGGAAAUGAGCCUUCACAGGACCAAGGGCUUCUCCUCCUAUUGAUGCCAGACAAUGCCAUCCUCUGCUACAUAUGUGGCUGGAGCCAUGGGUCCCUCCAUGUGUACUCAUUGGUUGGUGGUUUAGUCCCUGGGAGCUCUGGUUGGUUGCCAUUGUUGUUCUUCCUUUGGCAUUGCAAACCCUUUCUCAAGUCCUUUCCCCGAACUCUUCCAUUGGGGGCCCCGUGCUCAGUCUGAUGGUUGACUGCGAGCGUCUUAAUCUGUAUUGGUGAGGCUCUGGUAGAGCCUCUCAGGAGGCAUCCAUAUCAGGCUCCUGUGCAAGGACACAUUUCUGAGGAGGUGAGGUGUCAGCCAACUCUGAAGGGCAGAGCUGUGGCGGACACUUGGAGCAGGUAAGGUGGGAAGGCUAGUGAGCAGUGUGAGAAUGCACGGGGUGGGGGGGGAUUCCUGAGCAGGGUGGGAAGACAUUCUGGUGUGAAGAGAUGUUUGGGAUAAAGAAGGGGUCUGAUUUAUGGACAUUGAUAGGGAACAAGUGGGAAUCGAGAAGCAGUUAAGUAUACAUUCUCUCCCUCAUUUCUGCGUGCUGAUUCGAUGCCUGGCAGUGUUCUAAGAUUGGAUGGAAUUGUGAAUGGCCUAGGUUGGGCUCCUGUGUUAAAAGAAGAAAUAUUCCCAAGUGGAGACAAUAGACAAAGCAUUAACUAAACAAGGGUGUAUCAGUUACUCUUCAAAGACAUGAAAGGGCGUCUGAGGUAUGGGCGCUUUAAACAGCAUGCUUAGUAUGUGAGAGCAUCUCUGGGCGAGGUCAGGCAGGAGUCAGUACAGUGUGGAGGAAGCCAACAGGAGUGUGAAAGGAGUAAAGAGGAGCUGAGCAGGGAUGAGAGGAAGCAGGUGGCAGCCCUAGAAUCACAGAGAGGUCCUAGAGGCAGUAGAAGAAAGCUCAAGCAUUAGAAUGAUGGAAUAGAAGGAAGACGUGAUUGACUUUUGUGUUUAAAAGAUCAAUGCAGGGCCUGGGAAGACGGGUCAGUGUGCAAAGCACUUGCUACACAUGUGUGAGGACCGAAGUUCGGAUCCCUAGUGAAAGCUACGUAGGCAGAUGGUUCUCUCAUAGUCACAGCCAGGAGGCAAAGACAGGAAUCUCUGGAGCAAGCUGGCCAGCCAGUGUAGCAACCAGAGAUCCCGCCUCAAUUUAUAAUGUGUAGAGUGCACAAGAAAUAAAAAGCACCCAGUGUCAACCUGUAGCCUCUAAUUUUAUUCACGAGCAUCUACAUCCAUGAGUAUGGGAAUAUGCAUACGUAUAUGCACACACCUCACACGAUCUUGGGACAAAAAAAAUAUCGUUCUACUACAUAGAGAAACAAGAGACGGAAGCAAAGAGAUGGGGGGGACAUGGUAUGGUAUAGGUGCAGCUGAUAGGGUAAGACCAGAGAACUGCUUGGAGGGAGAGAGAAGAGGUAGCUGGGGCUCUUUCUGAGAGGAGAAUCAAAAUAUCUCCAUAGUUGGAGGUAUGGGUGUAUAUUGACGAUGUUUUAACAUUUAUUUAUGUUAUGUAUAUGAGUACACUGUCGCUGUCUUCAGAAGAGGGCAUCGGAUUCCAUUACAGAUGGUUGUGAGCCACCAUGUGGUUACUGGGAUUUGAACUCAGGACCUCUGGAAGAGCAGUCAGUGCUCUUAAUCGCUGAGCCAUCUCUCCAGCCCUAUACUGACAUUUUUAAAUAGAGAUUAAAAUGUCUGAACAGAAGUAGGUUUGCAGGAUGAUUAAAAUUUGAAUUGGGGAUGAAAAUUUAGCUGACAUUUGUGGUCCUGUCACUUGGAACAUGAAGAUGGGAGAGUGAGGAGUUCAAGGUCAGCCUGGGCUACAGAAGCUGCCAUUUGAAAAAAAAAAACAGAAGCCAAUUGGGAACACAUGAAGUCUAAUACGUUUAUUGACAUUCUCUGCAGUAUUUUUGUAUCCAAGAGAGGUUAUUACUGGAUAUGUUCAUGUGAACAUCUGUGUCGUGUAUAUUCACACUGAUAAAGAAAAGAAAGUUUUAAAAAAGACCCUGACAACAUUUUAAAAGGCCAGAAAGUUGUAUCAUGACAUCGUUUUAUUGAAAUAUAAGCAUGUACAUCUCUCUGUGGCAGUGACCAGAUGAGAACACAUGAUGGGGGUAGGAAGAUGUGUCAUAAGUGUUGUCCAUGGCAGAUGAGGUUGUUCGAGGUUUUGACUUGUAUUUGGGGCAUGCAGAGAUGGUGCUCUCAAGGGUUUCUUCAGAGCCUUGUGCAUUUAAUAUCGUCAGGGUUCCUCUCUGGGCAAAUGAGAUAAAGGUGGUGUGGAUACAUUUAUGAAAUUUUAAUUAUUAUUGUUUAAACUUAAAAGUUAGUUUUGAGAGGAUGCGUUUGCAUUUCUCGUAUAGGGCUUUCCUUAAAUAAUCCUGCCCUGACCCAUCCAGAUGCAUGUAAAGUACCCACAGGGAGGCUUGAGACACAGACUUGGGGUUUGAGACCUAAGUCAUGGAAAAUGUUGAUUAGGAAGCCAUCUUCGAGGUGGGAAUAGGGACUGAAGGAUGGAUAUAUUUUGGGGGACCAUUGAUAUGGCUCAGCAGCUAAAGGCACUUGCCACCAAAUCUGAGGAAAUGAGUUCAGUCUGUAGGAGUCACAUGGUUGACAGAAGAAACGGGAUCCUGCAAGUUUUCUGACUUUCACUCUCUGUCUCUCUGUCUCUCUGUCUCUCAGUCUCUGUCUCUCUGUCUCUGUCUCUUUGUCUCUCUCUCUCUCUCACACACACACACACACACACACACACACACACACACACACACACACACACACUACAUUUUCUCCUGGAGAUGUACAGUAAGAAAUGAAAAAGAAUGGACUCAGAUACAGGAGUCGUACCAAAAGAGAACAGUGAAGAAGAGGAGGAGUGUGGCCAAGGUGUGGCAAGCUGGUACGUGACGUAGGAAAGGGAGCUGGUGCGGCCGUGUACAGCCAGGUGCCGGAUUUCAAGGGUGAAGCAGGAGCAUUGGCUUUGCCUUGUUGGUUGGUGGAAUCUCCAGAGACAGCAGUUUUAGGAACUGUUCGAGGAAGUCAGGUCUCACAGGGUUAGAGGUUGAGUCAAUGCAGAGGAAACAGAGGAAGCUGACAGAGGCCACUCCUUUUAAACAUCUGCACAGACAGAAAUGGGACAACGGUAACCAGAAACUCGAAGGAGUCUGCGACUUUACACAGAAAGAACACCACACAAGAAGGAUAUGCGAGAUUGAGAAAAAGGUUCUUUAGUCCAUUAAGUAACUAGGCGUGGAUGAAGAUGUUUAGAGUACUUGAUGCUGGCCAGUGAGUAACAAAUGCUAGCAUUUGUACUAGCAUCGAGGCUUUAAAAAUCUAGUUGUUCACAGAAUGCAGGGUCUCAUUAGGGCAUCUUCACAUUAAGUACAAUGAUAGACAUGGUGUUUUGGUCAUAUUUGUCUCCUCGUUACCCUCGCACCUUCUCUCUUCACUUUUGUUGAUCCUCUUCCAAACCUCAAGAAGUCUUCCUCUGUUUCCCCCACCUCUGUCUCUCUUUCACACACCCAUAUUCUUCACAUGAAAGAAAAUAUGCAAUACUUGUCUUUCUUGUUCCAGUACACCCUUGUGUAACCCUCUCUUCGUUCCCUUCUUCCCACACAGCCCCCUUCUACUUUCAUAGCAUUGAGUUCCCACAGCAAGUAAUAACAUUCUUCUUACAUAGGAGAUUUUGAGACAUGACACCUUCCUAGACAGCAUUGCCUUUAAGAAUGUGGUCCUCAUUUUAGUUUUCUUAUGUUUACAUUUAACUGCCUGAGUCUGGAGAGAUGGCUCAGUGGUUACGAACACUGGCUGCUCUCCCAGAGGACCUGGGUUUGAUUGCCAGAACCCACAUGACACCUCACAAUCAUCUAGGACUAAAAUUCCAGUAUAUAUCAAUAUGCUGACAGAACACCAUGGUCAAGGCAACUUAGAAAAGGAUGUAUUUGAUAGGGUUUGUGGUUGCAGAGGGUUAGGACCCAUCAUGGCAGAGCAAAGACACUGUGGCAAAACAGCUGAGAGCUCACAUCUUGAUUGGCAAGCAGGAGGCAGAGAGGACACUGGGAAUGACACAAAUCUUUAGAAACCUUAAUGUCCAGUGACAUGUCUCCCUCAACAAGGCCAUACCUCCAAAUCCUUCCCAAACAGUUCCACUGAGGAAACAUAUGAGCCUAUGGAGGCCAUUCUCGUUCAAACCACCACAGGAUCCAAUGUCCUCUUCUGCCCUUGGUGGGCACCAGGCAUGGAUGUUGCACACAGACGUACACAGAGGCAGAACACUCAUAAGAGUAAAUAAAUCUUGAGAAAAAAAAAA